rnacentral:rRNA from 1 species
UACGUAGGGGGCUAGCGUUGUCCGGAAUCAUUGGGCGUAAAGCGCGUGUAGGCGGCCCGGUAAGUCCGCUGUGAAAGUCGGGGGCUCAACCCUCGGAUGCCGGUGGAUACUGUCGGGCUCGAGUACGGAAGAGGCGAGUGGAAUUCCUGGUGUAGCGGUGAAAUGCGCAGAUAUCAGGAGGAACACCGAUUGCGAAGGCAGCUCGCUGGGACGUGACUGACGCUGAGACGCGAAAGCGUGGGGAGCAAACAGG